rnacentral:misc_RNA from 1 species
UUUCCGUAGGUGAACCUGCGGAAGGAUCAUUCAUAAUAAAGUGUUUUAUGGCACUUUUUAAAAAUCCAUACCCACCUUGUGUGCAAUGUUAGAUCUCGUCAAUCUUGGCGAGAUUUUUAUACACCAACUCAUUCUUUAACUAAUUUGUCUGAAAAUUAUUAUGAAUACUUAAUUCAAAAUACAACUUUCAACAACGGAUCUCUUGGCUCUC